AUGGGAAUGUCGGGGGCCGCCAGUGGCGGUGCCGGAUGCGGACGCGGCGAGUACAUGAGGAUCCCGGAGGAUGUGGACGCGAUCAAGGAGGCCGUAAAGGAGGAAGGGGAGUGCCCAAGGUUGCUGCGAUGCCGCGCGAUCCGGUGGUGGGCGAAGGUCGCCGUACUCGGGAUCUUCCUCGCAGGCGCGGCCGCGGCCGCCGUCGUUUUCCUGGGCCCACUCGUCAUCAAGAAGGUGGUUGUGCCGAUUAUUGACUGGCAAUCAAGAACUUUCAGCCGACCAGUUAUUCUUCUAAUAUGUUUUGGUGCAAUCGCUUUAUUCCCAAGUGUCUUGAUACCUUCUUCUCCCUUUAUGUGGAUUGCGGGGAUGACCUUUGGAUAUGGUUAUGGCUUUAUGAUAAUUACAACGGCGAUGAGCAUAGGCAUGUCAUUACCAUUUUGUAUAGGAUCUGCGUUUCAUUCCAGAAUACACAGAUGGUUGGAAAAAUGGCCGAAGAAAGCUGCUUUUGUUAGACUUGCUGGUGAAGGAGAUUGGUUCCAUCAAUUUAGGGCAGUUGCUUUACUUAGGAUUUCUCCAUUUCCAUAUAUAGUUUUUAACUACGCUUCCGUGGCUACAAAUGUCAAAUAUUGUCCAUAUAUAGUUGGUUCAAUGGCGGGAACCAUACAUGAAACCCUCCUUGCAAUUUAUAGUGGGAAGCUCGUUCAAAGCUUGGCUGCGGCGACUAGCCAAGGGUCUUUCUUGUCAGUGGAUCAGAUCAUCUACAAUGGAAUUGGCUUUGCGGUUGCUGCAGUUUCCACUGCUGCAAUAACUAUUUAUGCGAAAAAGGCGCUCCAAAAAUUGCAAGCCGAGGAUGAGCUAUGUUGA
rnacentral:rRNA from 1 species